UGCAAGUCGAGCGGAUUGAUGGGAGCUUGCUCCCUGAAAUCAGCGGCGGACGGGUGAGUAACACGUGGGUAACCUGCCUGUAAGACUGGGAUAACUCCGGGAAACCGGGGCUAAUACCGGAUAGUUCUUUUCCUCGCAUGAGGAAAAGUGGAAAGGCGGCUUCGGCUGCCACUUACAGAUGGACCCGCGGCGCAUUAGCUAGUUGGUGAGGUAACGGCUCACCAAGGCAACGAUGCGUAGCCGACCUGAGAGGGUGAUCGGCCACACUGGGACUGAGACACGGCCCAGACUCCUACGGGAGGCAGCAGUAGGGAAUCUUCCGCAAUGGACGAAAGUCUGACGGAGCAACGCCGCGUGAGUGAUGAAGGUUUUCGGAUCGUAAAGCUCUGUUGUUAGGGAAGAACAAGUGCCGUUCGAAUAGGGCGGCACCUUGACGGUACCUAACCAGAAAGCCACGGCUAACUACGUGCCAGCAGCCGCGGUAAUACGUAGGUGGCAAGCGUUGUCCGGAAUUAUUGGGCGUAAAGCGCGCGCAGGCGGUCUCUUAAGUCUGAUGUGAAAGCCCACGGCUCAACCGUGGAGGGUCAUUGGAAACUGGGGGACUUGAGUACAGAAGAGGAAAGUGGAAUUCCACGUGUAGCGGUGAAAUGCGUAGAUAUGUGGAGGAACACCAGUGGCGAAGGCGACUUUCUGGUCUGUAACUGACGCUGAGGCGCGAAAGCGUGGGGAGCAAACA
rnacentral:rRNA from 1 species